rnacentral:rRNA from 1 species
AAAUUGAAGAGUUUGAUCAUGGCUCAGAUUGAACGCUGGCGGCAGGCCUAACACAUGCAAGUCGAACGGUAACAGGAAGCAGCUUGCUGCUUUGCUGACGAGUGGCGGACGGGUGAGUAAUGUCUGGGAAACUGCCUGAUGGAGGGGGAUAACUAAACUA